GGUCCCUUCCAACCCAAACCAGUCUGGGAUUCUGUGAAAACUAAAAGAAAAUACAGCAGGGAAGACUCUUCAGAGCAAACAGCACCAGCCUGAUGAUUGACCAAGAGGUUAAUGCAGUGGACAGGAGUGGCUGGGACCUGCUCGUUCUGUGUCAGGCAGUGUCCCCAGAGCUGUCACUGGAGAUACAAAGGAAUGCCAUUUACUUCUCAAUACAGAACAGCCAAUUUUUGUCACUCAAGAGCUGUUACACAGAGCACAGUUUAUGUGCUGUAGGGCUUGCUCCGAGUCCUGGGACACAGGGUGGAUUUAGACCUUUGAGAAGGCACCUGUAAGAAGGGCUGAAUCAGCUGUGGUCUGUCUGUUGCUCUUCCAGUAAAUGAAGUCCCCUUCCGACUGUGCCCAGGUAACAGCAGAAUCAGCAGAGGCAUUCCAGCUGAGUCAAAUGCAGCUGAAUCAGUCAGGACUGUGUAGUUUGAAUUUAAAUGGUGAAUGGCAGGACUGGCAUGUUUGUCAUUCCUUUAGGAAGAUGGGUGCUUGGUUUGAAAUCACUUUGUCAAAAGGAGCAUGAGAAAAUAGUUAUUUUGUGUGAGAAGUGGGCACUUCACUCAAUCAAAAUAUCUUCCCCAGCAAAAACAGCUUUAUUUGCUGUUUAUGUGCAAUCAGCCGACUUCCAGACACGUUACUUAAACAGCAUUUGUUCAGUGUUGGUGAUGCUGCUCCAGAGCUGGCCCAGGCUGCAGUGGGUAUCCACCAGCAGAAAGCCAUCUCCACUCACCAGGACAAAAGUGGCAACCAAGACAGAGCUCUCACAAAACCAUGCAGCCAUCCAGGUCUUUCAUCAGUAUCUGAAGGCAUUGGUGAGAACAGCCAUGUGAGGUGUGACCAAGUAGACAGUCUGCUCAGCCUGUUGGCAGAGUGAUGGGAGGAAGCAGAAAGGUUAAGAAGCAUCAGAGAGUCUGAGAAAGAGAUUGGAACCAUGCUCUGCCCUCUCUGUGAUGGGAAUAUCCAUCAGGAAAAAGCAACCAAACUCAAGGUGGUCCUGUAUCCUCUCCCCACCAGGCACAAGGCAGUAGCUUAAAGGAAAAGGAAAUUAGGGAAUAGAUGGAGGCAAGACUAUGCUCAGGGUUGCAGGUAAAACUUGUCCUUGCCCAUCUUGCCUUCCCAGGUGCCUCUGUACAACAGGUAAGAGGCUCUGGAUGCGGAAGGUCGGUCAGUGCCUGCAGCAUGGGCAACAAAGAGGAAGAGUUGGGAGCCAUCGUGCUGCUACAAAGCUACAACCUAGUUGCCAUUACUGAAACUUGGUGGAAUAAAUCCCAUGACUGGAGUGUGACUGUUGAUGGCCACAGGCUGUUCAGAAGUGACAGGCGAGGAAGGAAGGAGGGGUGGAGGGUUUGCCCUCCAUGUCAAGAAAUGGAUAGAUUGUGAAAGCUGUCUCUGAGGAACAGACACAAGCAGAAGUUAUGAGAGGCAUCACACUCACAAGCUCUCGUCCUGCUGGGCAACUUCAACCACCCCAACAUCCGCUGGAGAAGUACCACAGCGAGCAGUAGGCAAUCCUGGAGUGCAUUGAGGAUAACUUCUUAAGCCAGGUGCUUGAGGAUGGGAUUUCACAAAUGACUUGCAGCAGCCUGUCUUGUCCGUCACUCACUCCAGUGUUGCCACAGCCUCUCUUGCUAAAGAACUCAGAGCUGUGCCAAUAUGUCCAUGAGGUGAUCUGACUGAAGAAGAGCAACAUGGAAAGAAAAGAUGCCUUUUCAAUCAAGUGAACUUACCAAUACAGGUGACCUGGGAAGUGAGCAGUGGUGGUGUGCAAACAGACAACAAAAUUGGAGGCUUAAUAGACACCAGUCAUAAUUUGCUUGUGAAAGAAGGUCCUACAUAGUAUAUAACUACAUUCCAACUAUUAGGAAGCAGAAACCAGAGUUUCUGUUGUAGUGAAAUGGAAUACAUUUGGGGACAGUACACAAGCAGUCCUUUUGCUUGUGGCUAUGAAGAAAGGUGAACACUGGGGGCCAGCUUUUCAUACUCUGCUUUAGUGGUGAAAGUAGGAAUGGAAACUUGCAUGGAGCCCUAGCAGAGGGAGGAAGAACACUGAUAACAGUUCUGAUAGAACAGUCCUUAAGCUAAAAAUGAUUUAAAAUGCUGAUACACUGUUAAAAUAUGAAAUAUGAAGGCCUCAAAUUUAAAUGUGACAUUCACAUAAGCUUAGGCUUUGGUUGGUAAAGACAUUAAUUAAAUGAGAUUUGCCUACGUCCUUGUUUCAUGGCUGUCUUGCUGCAUCUAUUGAGUGACACUGAUAAGGCUGCUCUGAAGGGGAUCACAAUAAAGAUAUGAUGAAAACAAAUCACUGUGUAAUAAGAAAACUAAAAAAUAAACCAGUUUUGCUGCUUCCCAAAGCUUUUUGAAGCCUAGCUAUCCGUAUCCAGUCAGGAUUGCUGGUUAAUAAAGCUCAAUUCCAAAGAAGACCAAGGCUUAAGGUCUAGAAAUUUGCAGUGGUAUGUGCUUUUAACCCCUCAUCCUUUAACUUUCGUACUAUGUAUUUAACAUAUCACCAUCCUUUUGGAGCAGAACAGUCUCUGUUCUGGGAAUCUACAGCAAAUAGAUGGGGGUUUAAAGAAAACUAAAAAUGCUUUUAUGUAUUCUACAGCUUCAGAGUUGUGAGUUAUUUCCAGGGUGACAAG